AGUGAACGCUGGCGGUAGGCCUAACACAUGCAAGUCGAACGGCAGCACAGUAAGAGCUUGCUCUUACGGGUGGCGAGUGGCGGACGGGUGAGGAAUACAUCGGAAUCUACUUUUUCGUGGGGGAUAACGUAGGGAAACUUACGCUAAUACCGCAUACGACCUACGGGUGAAAUCAGGGGAUCUUCGGACCUUGCGCGAUUGAAUUAGCCGAUGUCGGAUUAGCUAGUUGGCGGGGUAAAGGCCCACCAAGGCAACGAUCCGUAGCUGGUCUGAGAGGAUGAUCAGCCACACUGGAACUGAGACACGGUCCAGACUCCUACGGGAGGCAGCAGUGGGGAAUAUUGGACAAUGGGCGCAAGCCUGAUCCAGCCAUACCGCGUGGGUGAAGAAGGCCUUCGGGUUGUAAAGCCCUUUUGUUGGGAAAGAAAAGCAGCAGGUUAAUACCCCGCUGUUCUGACGGUACCCAAAGAAUAAGCACCGGCUAACUUCGUG
rnacentral:rRNA from 1 species